rnacentral:misc_RNA from 1 species
UUUCCGUAGGUGAACCUGCGGAAGGAUCAUUAAAAAAUUGGACUCCAUUGGUGAGUUCAUUAAUAAUCCCUACCCUUUGUGAAUUUGUUUGUUUGAAUAAUUUUUUUUCCAAAAAAAAUUAUUGAAUGUCUUUCCUUGUUUUGGUGGAGCUUGUAAAGUGAAACCAGGCAGGGGAAUGGCAAACAAUAAUUAUUUUUGAAAAAGACCUUUUUUUAAAAUUAAACUUUUUGUAUUCAUUUGUCUAAAAUUAAUUUUUAUAAUAUAAAAACAACUUUUGACAAUGGAUCUCUUGGUUCUCGCAACGAUGAAGAACGCAGCAAAAUGCGAUAAGUAGUGUGAAUUGCAGAAUACGUGAAUCAUCGAAUCUUCGAACGCAUAUUGCACUUUUUUAGUUUACUAAAAAAGUAUGUCUGUUUGAGUAUCAGUAAAAUAUUCUCAUAAAAAACAUUGUUUUUUUUAUGGUUAUGAGUGUUUUACAACGAUAACAAGUUGUUUCACUUUAAAUUCUUUGUUAUCAAAAAAAUCAUUAAAAGCUAAUUUUAAAGAUUUUUUAAAAUUGGAUAAAAUUUUCCCGUAAAAAGGAAUAACCUAAACAAUUUUAAAAAAUUAAAAUUGGUUUGAUUCUUUUUGAAACCCAAAGGAAAAAAAAACGAAAUUAACUUGAUCUCAAAUCAGAUAAGAGUACCCGCUGAACUUAAGCAUAUCAAUAAGCGGAGGAAAAGAAACUAACUAGGAUUCCCUCAGUAACGGCGAGUGAAGCGGGAAGAGCUCAAAUUUGAAAUCUUCAAGGUUUUACCUUGACGAAUUGUAGUUUAAAGAAGUGUUUUCUGUUGGAGUUUUGGUAAAUGUUCUUUGGAAAAGGACAUCAUAGAGGGUGAGAAUCCCGUAUUUGACCAUUAUCUCCAGCUUUGUGAUACACUUUCAAAGAGUCGGAUUGUUUGGGAAUGCAGUCCAAAAUGGGUGGUAAAUUUCAUCUAAAGCUAAAUACUGGCGAGAGACCGAUAGCGAACAAGUACCGUGAGGGAAAGAUGAAAAGAACUUUGAAAAGAGAGUUAAACAGUACGUGAAAUUGUCAAAAGGGAAGCGUUUGACACCAGUGUUGUUUUCUCGAAGAUCAAUUAAAAAAGGCCGGAUUUUGUGUUGUAUUGACUUUAUUAGCUUUCUGCACUCUUUUCUUGUCUUUUUUAAUGCACUUUUCGUUUAACAAGUCAACAUCAAUUUCUUUUGUUGUAAAAGGGUCAUUGGAAGGUGGCUUUCUUUUCGGAGAAAGUGUUUAUAGCCUUUGGCCUCUGCAAUCGGAGAGAUUGAGGUCUGCAGCGUAGAUCCUUCGGGGUUAGAUACAUUUGUGCUAAGUUAUAGCCUUUCAUAGACAACUUGUUGACUAUGAUCAGUCAUGUAGCUUACUCGCUUAUGCUAUUU